GGAAUUCCGGACUUGCGAUGAAACUAUACAUAAUUUAUAGUAACGUAUCGGACGUAUAAUUCGUUUGUUAAAGGCGAUUGAACGUGAUCCGAUUUUGAUUUAGAUUUUGAUUACCGGAAUAAAACUCAAUUAAAAACAACUUUACAAUACAUAUGUAUUAUAUGCAUUUGAAGUACGCCAGACAUUGAAAGAUUUAUAUACGUUAUGUCGCUAAUCUAGAAUUGUCUUACAUUUACUGUGUGCAAAAUGUCGUAUUUUCGUUUAUUGUUAUUGUAUAUACCGGUAGGAAAUUUCUACAAAUUUAGAAAGAUGAACACAAGAAUAUUUUGGAUGUACGUCAAAGACACAACAACCC
rnacentral:lncRNA from 1 species